rnacentral:lncRNA from 1 species
AUUUAUUCUUCCAAGAUUUUCUAUGACAAUACCGUGUCCUGGGAGUGAUAUAGAGAUGAAUAAACUGUGGUUUCUGUCCUCAAGGACUGUACAAUCUGGUAGAGCAUACAGAAUUGAAAAAUCAACCUAAAAUAUUUGUAGAGAUGAGACAUAUCUGUCGGACUAUGUAUGACUUCCUAACCCACAGAAGUCAUGCAAUAUUGUACAUGAUUGCUAUUGUUUUAAGGCACUAAAUUUUGGGGGAGGGUAUAAAAGAGUCAGUCACUGUAAUAGACAGUGAAAAUUCUCUUUCCCAUGUUCCAGACCUCUCAUUUCCCUCCCUUAAAACAACCUAUUACCAGCUUCUGUACACUUUAAGAGAUACUAGCAUAUGCACAUACAAACACAAUAAAUACAAGCAUACAUGUAUAUACACAUGCAUACAUAUAAUGUCCUGUCCCCUGCUCCUCUACUGGAAAUUGAACCCAAGGCUUUGUGCAUGUGAGACAAAUGCCCUUCCACUUAGCUACAUCCUUGCCUGUUGGGAACUGCUCUGGAAUUACACCUCCUUAAGUCCAGCAAGAGAUACUAACAAUUAUUGCACCCCUGCAAUAACUUGGGCUUUACUUCUGCUGGGAUAAUAAGGCGUGGCACCAGGAGUAGGCAUUACCCAGUGGAGUUGAGUUGCACUCACCUGUUCCUUUAUAAUCCUACCCCUUGCCCUUUUUUGGAUAGAAUGUUCUAAGACACAGCCUCCCCCAAUAAAAGCCAACUCCAGUGCGUUCCCUCUCUCUCUCUUCAGCCUCUCCUGACUUUCUCUUGCCCCCCUUGUGGGAGCCUGAGGGUGGAGUGGUGGGGAACCAUCCUGAAGCUCAUAGAAAAAGGUAUUCCAUGUCUGUGUGGUCUUUUCAUGUCACCCCAAAUUCACACAAGUGACUUUGG